rnacentral:rRNA from 1 species
GAUGAACGCUGGCGGCGUGCCUAAUACAUGCAAGUCGAGCGAAUGGAUUAAGAGCUUGCUCUUAUGAAGUUAGCGGCGGACGGGUGAGUAACACGUGGGUAACCUGCCCAUAAGACUGGGAUAACUCCGGGAAACCGGGGCUAAUACCGGAUAACAUUUUGAACCGCAUGGUUCGAAAUUGAAAGGCGGCUUCGGCUGUCACUUAUGGAUGGACCCGCGUCGCAUUAGCUAGUUGGUGAGGUAACGGCUCACCAAGGCAACGAUGCGUAGCCGACCUGCGAGGGUGAUCGGCCACACUGGGACUGAGACACGGCCCAGACUCCUACGGGAGGAAGCAGUAGGGAAUCUUCCGCAAUGGACGAAAGUCUGACGGAGCGACGCCGCGUGAGUGAUGAAGGCUUUCGGGUCGUAAAACUCUGUUGUUAGGGAAGAACAAGUGCUAGUUGAAUAAGCUGGCACCUUGACGGUACCUAACCAGAAAGCCACGGCUAACUACGUGCCAGCCGCCGCAGUAA